GGCUCAGAACGAACGCUGGCGGCGUGCCUAAGACAUGCAAGUCGUGCGCGAAAGGGACUUCGGUCCCGAGUAGAGCGGCAUACGGGUGAGUAACGCGUGGGCAACCUGCCUCGAGGUCUGGGAUAACCCGGGGAAACCUGGGCUAAUACCGGAUGAGCCCACGAGGUCCUUGGACCUCGCGGGAAAAGAUGGCCUCUGCUUGCAAGCUAUCACCACGAGAUGGGCCCGCGUCCCAUUAGCUAGUUGGCGAGGUAACGGCUCACCAAGGCUCCGAUGGGUAGCUGGUCUGAGAGGACGAUCAGCCACACUGGGACUGAGACACGGCCCAGACUCCUACGGGAGGCAGCAGUCGGGAAUCUUGGGCAAUGGGCGCAAGCCUGACCCAGCGACGCCGCGUGAGGGAUGAAGGCCUUCGGGUCGUAAACCUCUGUCAGGAGGGAAGAACGGCCGCGAGGUGAACAAUCUCGUGGUCUGACGGUACCUCCGAAGGAAGCGCCGGCUAACUCCGUGCCAGCAGCCGCGGUAA
rnacentral:rRNA from 1 species